CUCGCGUUUUCGUCGUCGGAUCAAGAAAAAUCGCCUCAGAGCGAGGUCUCGGAGCGAGGCCGAAGGGUCGCUCCAGCUGGGAGCGACAUUAUGGGAGCGACACCUCGGAGUCGCUCGCGUCUUCGACGAAACAGAGCUCAAAAACUGACCCGGAGCGACGUCCUAGAGCGACGCCUUGAAGUCGCUCCAGCCCAGAGCGAGGUUUCGAGAGCGACACUCCAAGGUCGCUCGCGGUUUUGUCGAAACACGACGCGAGGAAACGACUCGGGAGCGACCUUUCCCAGCGACACCCUCACGUCGCUCCCGAACCGGUCCAGGUAAGUUUCCUAACUCUAAACCCCGGUUUGAUUCAAGUAAACCGACCCUAGACCACCCUAAACCGAACCGGACGACCCUAAACCUACCCCAACCCCCGCGACUCUAUCUCUCUCACUCUCCCCUCCUCUCACAAACUCACAAACUCUCUCAAACUCACCCACACCAAAAAUCCCAAAACCUUCUCAAUUCUCACCCAAAUCAACUAGUUCUUGUUUCUAAACCAAGCUUUCGCCCUUGUAGCCUAUUCCUCACCACCCAUUCACCAUUUCCUUUCAUCCAGAGCAAGGUAUU
rnacentral:lncRNA from 1 species